CUUUAGCCAAGUGGAUGCUAACUGGCUAGUCUUUUGGCUAUCAUUAGCAUCAAUUCAUGUGUAAAUAUGGUCAUUACCUGAGCAAUCUGCAGGGGGGUUGGGGGUGUGUGUGUGAAUGGUUGCUGGUGGCUUGUUUGUAUGUGUGGGGGAGGGAGGGCUGCUAAAAGCAGAGAACUUGAUUGACCAUGUCUCACAUUGGCAUUGUAGGGUCUUGCCCAGGUGUAAACAGGUAUGAAUUAGCACAUCUAAUUGAAUGCUGCUUGCUCUCAAUGAGAGGUAAUUCCUUUUGUGCUGAGGUGGAUAAAAUCUCACUGCACAUAGCCUACUACUUCAGUGCCCUCAAGAAUUCUGUGGUGUACGAACCUCCUCUCCAAGAAAAGAAAAUGCAGAGAAGACUCACCACUCGGCAGACCUUGGAAAUGAUCCUGAGUGAAGUAAACCCUUGUGACUCAGAUGGAGAAGACAUAGAACUUCAGCCGGAUUCGGACUCAGAUCUGUCUGAUCUGUCUUCAGAUGAGGAGACUGCUCCUCAACCAAAAAAGAGAGCCCGUUUGGGGACUGACCUGACAGAGACAGCGAAAGAUGGCACAGUGUGGCGUGAAGAACAGGUGGGGACGCGUCUCCCUUUCACCCCAAUCAAAGCGUACGCUGCAGAUGGAGAGCCAACGGCUAAGGCCAGGAAAAGUAUCUCGAGUCGCCUUCAGAGCUUCCUGUGUUUCAUCACUCUUGACAUGCUUCAUAGCAUUCAAGAAUGGACUAUUCAACAUGCACAGGAAACGGAGCAUGUUCAUUGGUUCAUGGCCCUCCCUGAACUAAUGGCAUUUAUUGCAAUUGUCAUCUUGCGGGGGCGUACCAAGGUUCCAUCACUACGUGACUGCUGGUCAGCAAACCUGGGAAACCCACAUAUCAUUGGAACAAUGCCGCGAAACCGCUUCCAAGACAUCAUGCGACACCUACGCUUUGAUGACAGGUCCACCCGGAGUGAUCGAGCAAAGACUGAUAAGUUUGCUGCAAUUUCCAGUGUGUGGGGAUCAUUUGUCACCAAUUGCAUCACGUCCUACAACCCUGGUCUACAUAUCACCGUUGAUGAACAGCUUUUCCCGUCAAAGACUCGCUGCUGUUUCCUGCAGUAUAUUGCAACUAAACCUGAC
ensembl:lncRNA